rnacentral:rRNA from 1 species
GACGAACGCUGGCGGCGUGCUUAACACAUGCAAGUCGAACGGGUCUGCCCCGUUUUUUGCGGGGUGGGUCAGUGGCGAACGGGUGAGUAACACGUGAGUAACCUGCCCCUCACUUCUGGAUAACCGCUUGAAAGGGUGGCUAAUACGGGGUGUUCUGGCUGUGCCGCAUGGUGUGGCUGGGAAAGAUUCACUUUUGUGGUGUUUUGGUGGGGGAUGGGCUCGCGGCCUAUCAGCUUGUUGGUGGGGUGAUGGCCUGCCAAGGCUUUGACGGGUAGCCGGCCUGAGAGGGUGGGCGGUCACACUGGGACUGAGAUACGGCCCAGACUCCUGCGGGAGGCAGCAGUGGGGGGUAUUGCACAAUGGGCGGAAGCCUGAUGCAGCGACGUCGCGUGAGGGAUGGAGGCCUUCGGGUUGUGAACCUCUUUCGCCGGUGAAGAAGGUCCUGCUCUUUGUGGUGGGGUUGACGGUAGCCGGGUUAUGAAGCGCCGGCUAACUACGUG